AUGCGGCGGUGGAAGUGGAGCGGCUGGCGCUCCCCAGGAGCUCCGCAACGCGAGGUUUCGGGCUCGUGGCUUUGCUUCCUCUGGGUCCCCUCUCCAGGGCCGCUCUGCAAGACGAAGAUGCCGAGGAGAGCGCCGCGGGGAGGGCGCUUCGGGCCGUGCGCGCAGCGCCCACAAAGGGCAGCAGUCCCGCCGCCCGGAGCCUCUGCUGCGUGGGGGCUGAGGGCCGCUUCCCGGCCCCCUUUCCGGCCCCCCGGAGAGUUGGAGACUGUUCUCUGGCCUCGGCCGCGCGGGGGUGAGGUCGGGGGUCGGCGCGGCCGCUACUGCCCCGGCUCCGUCCGGCGCAGCUGCCGCCGCGGCCGCCCCUGGUGCCUGCGCGCCAGCACCCGCCUGCCGGUCCUUGCCCGGCGCCGCUCACUCGCGCGCGCCGCCCCACCCCCCGCCGCCGCCGCCGCCGCCGCCGCCGCCCGCGCACCCUGCUCGGCCUCAGCGAGCGCGACCGACGCGAGUCGCAGCCGCCACCGCCGCUCUCCCCGCGCUCGCCGCACGCGCUGCCAGGCUGCGCGGCCCUCUCUCUUCUCUUCUCCUCUCCUCUCCCCGCCCGCUGCCGCCGCCACCGCCGCCGCCCUCGCCCCCGCCUCCCUCCUCCGCCGAGCUUCCCCGCCCGCGUCGUGGCCAAUCGGAGGCCACCGAGCUGCGGCUGUAGCCGGCCAGAUCCACAGCAGCCGUCCGCCCCCGCCCCGCCGAAGCACCCCGUUUUUGCUGCAGCCCGCGGGGGGUCGCCGGAGGGAAGUCUGGGGUGCGUGGAACACCGCCCUGGCAGGUGGAGGGGCUGCGGGAAAUAAAAGAACUUGCACAGGAACUUGAUGGUUGGCAGGUUCAUCGUUGGACCGCGAUGAGGAAUUAGAGAUUAGGAAGGGAGGGGGAAUGCCUCCGAGGUAGCCGAACGCACGCUUCUCUUUCUGUUUUGUCAUUCUUUCGAGAUAGAUGAUUUUUCAGGGUAGGGACAGACAUAGCAAACUAGCAACGCAGGCAGAGCCCACCCUGGCCAUUGUUGUCUGAGGUGCUUGCCACGAGCCACCUGCGGGCCGGGGAGGGCGGAGGCCGCAGUUUCUCUUCGGCGCUAGUACUUCUCCCACCUUUGCAGAUGUACAGGAAUAGCCCAAGUUUGUGUGCUGUUUCGUUUUCUUUUGUUCCCUCUGGGAAUUUGAGAGUGAGCGUUAUUUUAUUUGAAGUCUCCCGUUUUAUAUUUCUACUCGUUAGUGGUACUGUUCACAAUUUUUAACAAACAGUUUUCAGGGAGUUUGACUUCCUUGCUUACACCACCUUCCAACAUCAUCAACAAAGAAAACCAGAAGAAAUAGAAAGAAAGGGGUAAACAAUCUAAAAGCCAGAACUGUCUGUGAAAAUAGGAUUAUCUAAAAGAAAAAAUGACAUUACAGGGUUCGCACCCAGAAAAGGAGUUUUGCUUCCUCUCUGUAAGGCAUGAACUUGGAGUGGGACACAAAAAGUGAGAGACUUUACAAGUUUGGGUCACAAAUAUUUGUGAAAUGGAGGGAGGGGUGAGGAGUAACUGAUUUGGGCAAGAUAAUACAUUUUUUCCAGAACUUUUUUUUUUUUUUUUUAAGUAUUACAGGUAAAUAAAAAUACCGGUUUUAUCUGAGCGUUCCCAUACUCUGGAGGUCGUCGAACUUCGUUGCAGUUAAUGAACAUUAUUCCUCUGCUUUGGGUUUUUGGGGUUUUUGUGCUUUUAGUAUUUGAAAAUCAAACUCAUUGUUUCCAUGGAAAAUAUAACCAACUCUACAGAGGACAGGAAGACGUCAGAGCUGCUCUGCACAGACUCCAGAAUUUGUAGGAAAAGAAACGAAGGGGUGGUGACAGGCUGGCAGCGGGGGAGAACCAUGGUGAGCAGGAACACGGACACUUGAAGCCUCCAGUGAGAGUUUCAAACUCAACAUGCCUGGCAAAAGUUAGCAAUGAAUAGAUGAUGAAUUGAGAUAGCUCCUGCCUGAAGGAAAGCAACCUGCUUAGAUCUGAAUAAGCAGGAAAUUCUUCAGUUUGUUCAGCAGAACCUAGAAAAGAUAACCCUAGAAUCUGGCUAAAAUCCUAAAGGCA